CAGUGCUGCUGCCAGCUAGCUGUGUCUUAUCAGUCUCUGCCCCUCCCACACCCUCCUAGCUCAGGGUGAACACAGCCAGGCUGAAGGAAGCCUCAUCUGAUGGACAGGACCUCGUCUGGAUUCAUCAGGAAGGAAGGAAGGAAGUCUGGCCCUCCCUGCGUGUGACCGUGGCCACUCCCAUGGUCAGCGGCCUCUGAGUAGGAGUGGGCGGGACCUGGCCCGCACUCCUGUCACUUUCAUCCAUGAAACCCGACCUUCCUUACUGCUCCUGGGCUCCCAAGUGGGUGUGCGACCACUCAACCUUCCAAGCUCCUCCCGAGUGGCAGCCCGGAGGAUGGAGCCCCACAGCCAUCAGGAGACCCCAGCAGGGCUCUCAUUGACAGAGAGAGGAGGAUGGCCUAGGCUGAGCAGCCUGACGCAGGCAGCAGGUGGUUCCUGGAAAACGUGAACUCACACAGCACUGCUUUUCUCUCUGGGGAGCCGCCGGCCACGGGUUUCGCCUCUUCAGGAAGGAACGCAUGGCCCAGGCUGACCAAGUCCUUCAGUGACGGCGUUGCACUCAGCAGGGUCCUAGAAGGGUCGGGCCCGGUCAGAACAGGCUCCACGGCUGUUAGACAGCGACCGUAGACAGCUCGCCUCCAACAGGAAUGAAGUGGAUUUGGAUGCUCACUGGCCGUUUGUGAGUGAAAAUGUCCCCAUUUUGUCUGUUGAGCACAUAAAGUGGUCCCAGAGCUGCCAGUUUCAGAACGAGCCAUGGAGGUCGUGAGUCACGCGAUGAUGCUGCGCUUUUGCCAUUUUCUCGUUCUUUGGAAAAAUGAUAUAAUAAAAAAGCUAUCUACCAGCAACCAGAGUCACGCAAUUCAAGGCGUACAUAACAGCCACCCGGUGGCGGCUGCACACAGCAUGGACGUUGAGAAGGACUGCGGCCCCACGCAAUGUGACACAGGUCGGACUCACCCCGCGCAGGGGCCGUGUGACUGCCCCAGCCCAAGCCUAGGAGAGGCAUUUAGGACACAGCAGCCAUUUUCUCCAACACCUGCUGGAAAAGAGAUCAUCCGUGGAAGAGAUGGCAUCCUGCUUUUGGCUUUAAAGUUUGGUUGCCCUAACUCUACGCCCUAUUCCGAGAACCAAGAGAUAUCGCCCCUGAAAGGCAGCCACAGUCUACUUCAAGAGGCCAAAAAUGUGAAAAAAAAAAUACUAUACGGGCACAUGAUCAAAUGCAAGCACUGGGAUGCAUAAGGGAGCAGACAGCCCGUUCUAAGGGGAGCCACAGUUGUACUAGUCACCGAACGACGCGGCCUGGUUGUGCCGGCCACUGUGCCUCUGAUACGCCCAUCACCUCCACCUGGCAGGCCCUUCCACCUGUGCCUCUGAUUCACCCAUCACCUUUACCUGGCAGGUCAUUCCACCUGUUCUGCACCUAGGAAACUCCCACACAGUCCUUAGAGUUGAGCUCAGUUGACACUUGCUCAGGAAAGCCCUCUCUCCUCUUCUACUCCUCUGUGAGACCUCCCCCUGGGUCCCGGCUCACUCAUGACUCUACUUUCUAAAUCACACAGGGUGCUGUGCCUCUGUCUCAGUGCGCUCAACUCCAGCUGGCCUCUGGGUCUGCUCCACAGCAGGCUCCACUUAGAAUGACAUGGAGCUGAGGAAGGAGGGCAGGACCAGGUUACUACACAACCUCCAAUGCCGAGGCAACCCCUUCAGACUUUGUCCUGGUGGCAAUAUAAAGUUAUCAAGGGAUUUUAAGGAGCAUGUGUGCAGAAUCAGAACUAUUUUUUGGUGAGGGGAGACAGCCUCACUCUGUCUUUGGGAUAAAAUUAAAACCUGUAACAGGCCUGUGGGG